ensembl:lncRNA
UUUGUGGGACAACAUCUGGAGAUGAAGAUGUUGACUUGCUUGCUGUUUGAGUUGUAGAUAUAACUUGAGUUGUUAUUUGAGAAGUAGGUGUCGGUGUUCGAGUAGAUGUUAAUGCAGCUGAUAUCAAUGUUGAUGCAGUUGAUCUCGAAGUUGGUGCAGUUGUUGUUCUUGUAGUAGAUGGUGCAGCUGAUGUUGAUGUUGCAGUUUGAGUUGUAGGUGUUGUUGCAGUUGAUUGACUGGUUGAUGUUGCUUGUGUAGAUGUAAAUAAAAUAUUUGAUGCAGUCGCAGUUGAUGAAGAUGCUGGUGCAGUUGUUGAUGAUAGAGGGGUAGAUGUUGGUGCAGUUUGUUUUGAGGAUGUAUCAGUUGUUGUUGACUGAGUGGUAGAUGUUGGUGCAAUUGAUGUCGAUGUUACAGUUGUUGUUGAUUGAUUUGUAGGUGUUGUUGAAGUUGAUUGACUGGUUGAUGUUGGUUGUGUAGAUGUAGAUAAUAAAAUAUUUGAUGCAGUCGCAGUUGAUGAAGAUGCUGGUGCAGUUGUUGAUGAUAGAGGGGUAGAUGUUGGUGCAGUUUGUGUUGAGGAUGUAUCAGUUGUUGACUGAGUGGUAGAUGUUGGUGCAAUUGAUGUCGAUGUUACAGUUGUUGUUGAUUGAUUUGUAGGUGUUGUUGCAGUUGAUUGCCUGGUAGAUGUUGCUUGUGUAGAUGUAGAUAAAAUAUUUGAUGCAGUCGCAGUUGAUGAAGAUGCUGGUGCAGUUGUUGAUGAUAGAGGGGUAGAUGUUGGUGCAGUUUGUGUUGAGGAUGUAUCAGUUGUUGUUGACUGAGUGGUAGAUGUUGGUGCAAUUGAUGUCGAUGUUACAGUUGUUGUUGAUUGAUUUGUAGGUGUCGUUGCAGUUGAUUGACUGGUUGAUGUUGGUUGUGUAGAUGUAGAGAAUAAAAUAUUUGAUGCAGUCGCAGUUGAUGAAGAUGCUGGUGCAGUUGUUGAUGAUAGAGGGGUAGAUGUUGGUGCAGUUUGUGUUGAGGAUGUAUCAGUUGUUGUUGACUGAGUGGUAGAUGUUGGUGCAAUUGAUGUCGAUGUUACAGUUGUUGUUGAUUGAUUUGUAGGUGUUGUUGCAGUUGAUUGACUGUUUGAUGUUGCUUGUGUAGAUGUAGAUAAAAUAUUUGAUGCAGUCGCAGUUGAUGAAGAUGCUGGUGCAGUUGUUGUUGAUGAUAGAGGGGUAGAUGUUGGUGCAGUUAGUGUUGAGGAUGUAUCAGUUGUUGUUGACUGAGUGGUAGAUGUUGGUGGAAUUGAUGUCGAUGUUACAGUUGUUGUUGAUUGAUUUGUAGGUGUUGUUGCAGUUGAUUGCCUGGUAGAUGUUGGUUGUGUAGAUGUAGAUAAUAAAAUAUUUGAUGCAUUCACAGUUGAUGAAGAUGCUGGUGCAGUUGUUGUUGAUGAUAGAGGGGUAGAUGUUGGUGCACUUUGUGUUGAGGAUGUAUCAGUUGUUGUUGACUGAGUGGUAGAUGUUGGUGCAAUUGAUGUCGAUGUAACAGUUGUUGUUGAUUGAUUUGUAGGUGUUGUUGAAGUUGAUUGACUGGUUGAUGUUGGUUGUGUAGAUGUAGAUAAUAAAAUAUUUGAUGCAGUCGCAGUUGAUGAAGAUGCUGGUGCAGUUGUUGAUGAUAGAGGGGUAGAUGUUGGUGCAGUUUGUGUUGAGGAUGUAUCAGUUGUUGUUGACUGAGUGGUAGAUGUUGGUGCAAUUGAUGUCGAUGUUACAGUUGUUGUUGAUUGAUUUGUAGGUGUUGUUGCAGUUGAUUGACUGGUUGAUGUUGCUUGUGUAGAUGUAGAUAAAAUAUUUGAUGCAGUCGCAGUUGAUGAAGAUGCUGGUGCAGUUGUUGUUGAUGAUAGAGGGGUAGAUGUUGGUGCAGUUAGUGUUGAGGAUGUAUCAGUUGUUGUUGACUGAGUGGUAGAUGUUGGUGCAAUUGAUGUCGAUGUUACAGUUGUUGUUGAUUGAUUUGUAGGUGUUGUUGAAGUUGAUUGACUGGUUGAUGUUGGUUGUGUAGAUGUAGAUAAUAAAAUAUUUGAUGCAGUCGCAGUUGAUGAAGAUGCUGGUGCAGUUGUUGUUGAUGAUAGAGGGGUAGAUGUUGGUGCAGUUUGUGUUGAGGAUGUAUCAGUUGUUGUUGACUGAGUGGUAGAUGUUGGUGCAAUUGAUGUCGAUGUUACAGUUGUUGUUGAUUGAUCUGUAGGUGUCGUUGCAGUUGAUUGACUGGUUGAUGUUGGUUGUGUAGAUGUAGAUAAUAAAAUAUUUGAUGCAGUCGCAGUUGAUGAAGAUGCUGGUGCAGUUGUUGUUGAUGAUAGAGGGGUAGAUGUUGGUGCAGUUUGUGUUGAGGAUGUAUCAGUUGUUGUUGACUGAGUGGUAGAUGUUGGUGCUAUUGAUGUCGAUGUUACAGUUGUUGUUGAUUGAUUUGUAGGUGUUGUUGAUUGAGGUGUAGAUGUUAGUGUUGUUGAUUCAGAUAUUGAUUCAGUGGUUGGUGAGUGAGAUGUAGAUGUUGUUUCAGAUGUAGAUGUUUCUGUAGCUGAUGUAGAUGUUGGUUCAGUGGUUGUUGUUUCAGAUGUAGGUGUUUCUGUAGCUGAUGUAGAUGUUGGUUCAGUGGUAGUUGUUGAUUCAGAUGUAGAUGCUUGAGCAGGUGUUGUUAUUUGUGGUGUAGAUGUUGGUGUUGAUUCAGAUGUUGAUUCAGUGGUUGGUGAGUGAGGUGUAGAUGUUGUUGUUGAUUCAGAUGUAGAUGUUUCUGUAAUCGAUGUAGAUGUUGGUUCAGUGGUUGUUGAUUCAGAUGUAGAUGCUUGAGCAGGUGUUGUUGAUUGAGGUGUAGAUGUUAGUGUUAUUGAUUCAGAUGUUGAUUCAGUGGUUGGUGAGUGAGGUGUAGAUGUUGUUGAUUCAGAUGUAGAUGUUUCUGUAGUCGAUGUAGAUGUUGGUUCAGUGGUUGUAGAUGUAGAUGUUGUUGUUUCAGAUGUAGAUGUUUCUGCAGCUAAUGUAGAUGUGGUAGUUGUUGAUUCAGCUGUAGAUGUUUCAGGAGGUAUAGAUGUUUCUGUAGUCGAUGUAGAUGUGGUAGUUGUUGAUUCAGCUGUAGAUGUUUCAGCAGGUAUAGAUGUUUCUGUAGUCGAUGUAGAUGUGGUAGUUGUUGACUCAGCUGUAGAUGUUUCAGCAGGUGUAGAUGUUUCUGUAGUCGAUGUAGAUGUUGGUUCAGUGGUUGUUGUUGAUUCAGCUGUAGAUGUUUCAGCAGGUGUAGAUGUUUCUGCAGCUAAUGUAGAUGUGGUAGUUGUUGAUUCAGCUGUAGAUGUUUCAGGAGGUAUAGAUGUUUCUGUAGUCGAUGUAGAUGUUGGUUCAGUGGUUGAUGUUGAUUCAGAUGUAGAUGUUUGAGCAGGUGUUGUUGAUUGAGAUGUAGAUGUUAGUGUUGUUGAUUCAGAUGUUGAUUCAGUGGUUGGUGAGUGAGAUGUAGAUGUUGUUGUUUCAGAUGUAGAUGUUUCUGCAGCUAAUGUAGAUGUGGUAGUUGUUGACUCAGCUGUAGAUGUUUCAGGAGGUGUAGAUGUUUCUGUAGUUGAUGUAGAUGUUGGUUCAGUGGUUGUUGUUGAUUCAGCUGUAGAUGUUUCAGCAGGUGUAGAUGUUUCUGUAGUUGAUGUAGAUGUUGGUUCAGUGGUUGUUGUUGAUUCAGCUGUAGAUGUUUCAGCAGGUGUUGUUGAUUGAGGUGUAGUUAUUGGUAUUGAUUCAG